CCUUCGAUAGCUCAGCUGGUAGAGCGGAGGACUGUAGAGUAUAUGACAGCCAUCCUUAGGUCGCUGGUUCGAUUCCGGCUCGAAGGA
rfam:Cricetulus griseus cell line CHO-K1, whole genome shotgun sequence.